UUGUAUUUGUUUGUUUUGUAGGAUGGAUCCUACUCACAAAACUAUGGUGGUGGCCAAGGUGGAUCAUCCUCAGACACCUAUUAUGAUAAUCAAGAGUCACAAGAUUCCUCAUAUGAUAAUAAUCC